rnacentral:rRNA from 1 species
AACGAACGCUGGCGGCAUGCCUAACACAUGCAAGUCGAACGAGCCCUUCGGGUCUAGUGGCGCAUGGGUGCGUCACGCGUGGGAACCUGCCCUUAGGUUCGGCAUACCUCCCCGACAGGGGUGCUAAUACCGGAUAAUGUCUUCGGACCAAAGAUUUAUCGCCUUUGGAUGUGCCCGCGUUGGAUUCGCUAGUUGGUAGGGUAAAAGCUUACCAAGGCGACGAUCCAUAGCUGGUCUGUGAGGAUGGUCAGCCACACUGGGACUGAGACGCGGCCCGGACUCUUACGGGAGGCGGGAGUGGGGAAUAUUGGACAAUGGGCGAAGGCCUGAUCCAGCUAUGCCGCGUAAGUGAUGAAGGCCUUAGGGUUGUAAAGCUCUUUUACCCGGGAUGAUAAUGACAGUACCGGGAGAAUAAGCUCCGGCUAACUCCGUG